AGGAGCUGUCCUUAGUACGAGAGGACCGGGAUGGACUGGCCGCUGGUGUAUCUGUUGCAUACCAAAUGCAUGGCAGAGUAGCCAAGCCGGGACGGGAUAAACGCUGAAGGCAUCUAAGCGUGAAGCCCCCCUCAAGAUGAGAUAUCCCUACGUAAGUAGUAAGACCCCUUGAAGACGACGAGGUAGAUAGGUCAGAGGUGGAAGUACAGUAAUGUAUGGAGCUGACUGAUACUAAUCGGUCGAGGGCAUGACCAAG
rnacentral:rRNA from 1 species